rnacentral:rRNA from 1 species
UACGUAGGGGGCGAGCGUUGUCCGGAUUUACUGGGCGUAAAGCGCGUGUAGGCGGUACUCUAAGUCCGGGGUGAAAUCCGGGGGCUUAACCCCCGAACAGCGCCGGAAACUGGAGCGCUUGAGUGUCGGAGAGGGGAGUGGAAUUCUCGGUGUAGCGGUGAAAUGCGUAGAGAUCGAGAGGAACACCCGUGGCGAAGGCGGCUCCCUGGCCGAACACUGACGCUGAGACGCGAAAGCGUGGGGAGCGAACGGG